rnacentral:rRNA from 1 species
UGGGGAAUUUUGGACAAUGGGCGAAAGCCUGAUCCAGCAAUGCCGCGUGUGUGAAGAAGGCCUUCGGGUUGUAAAGCACUUUUGUCCGGAAAGAAAUCCUUGGCUCUAAUACAGUCGGGGGUAUGGGACUGGGUACCGGAAGAAUAAGCACCGGCUAACUACGUGCCAGCAGCCGCGGUAAUACGUAGGGUGCAAGCGUUAAUCGGAAUUACUGGGCGUAAAGCGUGCGCAGGCGGUUUGCUAAGACCGAUGUGAAAUCCCCGGGCUCAACCUGGGAACUGCAUUGGUGACUGGCAGGCUAGAGUAUGGCAGAGGGGGGUAGAAUUCCACGUGUAGCAGUGAAAUGCGUAGAGAUGUGGAGGAAUACCGAUGGCGAAGGCAGCCCCCUGGGCCAAUACUGACGCUCAUGCACGAAAGCGUGGGGAGCAAACAGGAUUAGAUACCCUGGUAGUCCACGCCCUAAACGAUGUCAACUAGUUGUUGGGGAUUCAUUUCCUUAGUAACGUAGCUAACGCGUGAAGUUGACCGCCUGGGGAGUACGGUCGCAAGAUUAAAACUCAAAUGAAUUGACGGGGUCAUAGCUGUUUCCU